rnacentral:tRNA from 1 species
GCCGCUGUGGUGAAAUCGGCAGACACGAGGGACUUAAAAUCCCUUGGUAGCAAUACCGUACCGGUUCAAGUCCGGUCAGCGGCACCA